GACAACGCUGGCGGCGUGCCUGACACAUGCAAGUCGGACGGUUCUUGCACCUUCAAGCUUGCUUGUUGGUUCAAGGAUAGUGGCGGACGGGUGAGUAACGCGUGAACACCUACCCAUUGGAGGGGUACAACCCGUCGAAAGGCGGGCUAAUACCGCGUAAGCCGUGAGGUGAAAGGCUGCUCUUUGGUGGCUGCCGAUGGAUGGGUUCGCGUCCUAUCAGCUGGUUGGUGGGGUAACGGCCUACCAAGGCUAAGACGGGUAGCCGGUCUGAGAGGAUGGCCGGCCACACUGGAACUGAGACACGGUCCAGACUCCUACGGGAGGCAGCAGUGGGGAAUCUUGGGCAAUGGGGGAGACCCUGACCCAGCGACGCCGCGUGAGGGAUGAAGGUUUUCGGAUCGUAAACCUCUGUUGUACGGGAAGAAGGAUGUGACGGUACCGUACGAGUAAGCCCCGGCAAACUACGUG
rnacentral:rRNA from 1 species